UUCUCAGCUUCUUCUUUCUCUUUCUUCCUCUCUUUCUCGGUUCUUCUUUUCUUGUUGAUUAUCCGUGAGACUCAAUGAAGAAAAUCAACUUAUGAUGUUGUGUAGAUGAUGAAGGUGAUGAUGUGAUGGUGUUAAUUCAAGCAGUUGAUUCAGAGAUACAAGAGACGGUAAAUCAGAGAGAAUCAGAGUUAGGGUUUUCAGACUAGAGUUGGAAAUUGAAUAAAAUUGAUAGUAAAUCGAGUGGUGAUAGAUGAAGAACAAAGAGAUUUUCAUUUAAUUGAUGUUGUGGUGUUGAUAAGAUUACGAAUCGAAUAAUUAGGUUUUCUGAAUUUGGUUUCAAGAAUUCGUUUAAGGAUGAACAAGAAGAAUUUAAAAGAUGGGUUUGGUUGAUUUAAAUUUGUUAAAGAGAUUAGGGUUUGAUGCUGUCGAAUUAGGGGUUUACUCAGGAUUAAAGUGUAAAGUGGAGUUAAUAAGGUUUUAAUGGAUACUGGUUGAAGAUGAGAUGAUGAAUCAUAUCAAGCCAAAGAAUAAUUUGAAUUCAAUUGCCCGAACGUUACUGAAUCAAGGUGAUUGUUAUUAUCAGUUAAUUUAGUUUAGAUGUUCAUUUCAGUUUUGAGUUUUUGAAGUUAUGGAUGAUGUAAGAAUUGAGAAAGGAUUUACUGUGAAUGUGGAUUUAUAAACCAUUGUUAGUGAUGAUGUGGAUUUAGUAUAAAGAUUAUUAAGUUGCAGGGAGGAGUUGAACCACUGGUGGUAAUUUAUGAGUGACAGGGAUUUAGAUUUGGUAAUGGAGAUGGAUGAAUUACAAGUGAUGCUGUUGUUGAAUUCAUGAUGGUGGAGAAUGUAUGAACUGUGUUGAGGAGUUAUGUUUAGAGAUUGAAGUGAAGUUGCUAAGACUGAAUAUAGUUUCAGUUGAAGGUGUUGGUAAUGUGCUGAGAUACGAAGUAUGGUAUUGUUGGUGACCUUUAGGUGAAUUAUAGUGGUGAAUUGAACUGAGAUGAAGCAAUUCAUGGACUAGCUUCAAAUGUUAGUGUGUCAAUGUGCAGUUAAUAAGAGUAAACAUGGGAAAUGGAGAAGAUGUUCGGUAGUGGUGUGGUUAUGCAGGUAGUGGUUUUCUAUGAUGAAUGAAACUGAGUUUUGUUGGUAGUGAUAGUUUGUUUAGCUCAGAGUUUAGAAGAGGCGGGAAGACUUGAAUUAGUAGUGAUGAUAUAAUGAGUAGAGUGAUUGUAGCCCUGGAAUUGUGGUGGCAUGGUUUGCAACUUCUGGUUGCAGGAUGAACCAGUGGACCGUGGAUCUCGAGGUGGGCGUGGCUUGUCAUCAAAAGAGUUUCAGAGACAGAUCAGAGUUGGCAGCGAAAGCUCGAGGAGUUGACAUCGUUAAUUAGUUAACUUCUGCUAUGUCUAUUAUGUUUGUUUAUUUAUUCGCAAACAAAAUAACUAUUGUAUAUGUAUCAUUUGAGAGAAAUUCUUGUAUAUAUAUUUCUGAGAGGGGUUAGUUUUGGGUUAAGUUUUACAACAGAUUUCUUAAUUGAAUGUUUAAGUAAAUGAUUUAGAUUCUUAGUGCCUCUUUAUUUAGUUAAUCUCUUGGAUUAGUUAGCUGUUAGCUUAGGGGCGAUACAUGUCCCAUCACAGCUUCUACACUUUGAAUAAA